CAGGACGAACGCUGGCGGCGUGCUUAACACAUGCAAGUCGAGCGGGGAUGUAUUUCGGAAUUCUUCGGAAGGAAGGGAUACAUUCUAGCGGCGGACGGGUGAGUAACGCGUGAGCAAUCUGUCCCGUACAGGGGGAUAACACUUGGAAACAGGUGCUAAUACCGCAUAAUGCAGUUGGGUCGCAUGGCUCUGACUGCCAAAGAUUUAUCGCUCUUAGAUGGCCUCGCGUCUGAUUAGCUAGUUGGUAGGGUAACGGCCUACCAAGGCGACGAUCAGUAGCCGGACUGAGAGGUUGGCCGGCCACAUUGGGACUGAGACACGGCCCAGACUCCUACGGGAGGCAGCAGUGGGGAAUAUUGGGCAAUGAGCGCAAGCCUGACCCAGCAACGCCGCGUGAAGGAAGAAGGCUUUCGGGUUGUAAACUUCUUUUAUCAGGGACGAAGAAAAUGACGGUACCUGAUGAAUAAGCCACGGCUAACUACGUG
rnacentral:rRNA from 1 species